AUUGAACGCUAGCGGCAUGCUUAACACAUGCAAGUCGAACGAGUGGCGGACGGGUGAGUAAUAUAUCGGAACGCGCCCUGUAGCGGGGGAUAAAUACUCGAAAGAGUGGCUAAUACCGCAAAAUAUUGGAGCGCCCGAUAUCGGAUUAGCUAGUGGGUGGGGUAAUGCCUCACCAAGGCGAAGAGCCGUAGCUGGUUUGAGAGGACGACCAGCCACACUGGGACUGAGACACGGCCCAGACUCCUACGGGAGGCAGCAGUGGGGAAUUUUGGACAAUGGGGGAAACCCUGAUACAGCCAUGCCGCGUGUAUGAGAAGGCCUUCGGGUUGUAAAGUACUUUUGGCAGGGAAGCGGUAUCUGCAGAAUAAGCACCGGCUAACUACGUGCCAGCAGCCGCGGUAAUAC
rnacentral:rRNA from 1 species